UUUGCCUACGGGAGGCAGCAGUAGGGAAUAUUGCUCAAUGGGGGAAACCCUGAAGCAGCAACGCCGCGUGGAGGAUGAAGGUUUUCGGAUUGUAAACUAUUGUCGUGAGGGAAGAAAUUGACAGUACCUCAGGAGGAAGCUCCGGCUAACUAUGUGCCAGCAGCCGCGGUAAUACAUAGGGAGCAAGCGUUAUCCGGAUUUAUUGGGUGUAAAGGGUGCGUAGACGGGAAAUUAAGUUAGUUGUGAAAUCCCUCGGCUUAACUGAGGAACUGCAACUAAAACUGAUUUUCUUGAGUACUGGAGAG
rnacentral:rRNA from 1 species